GAUGAACGCUGGCGGCGUGCCUAAUACAUGCAAGUCGAGCGAACGGACGAGAAGCUUGCUUCUCUGAUGUUAGCGGCGGACGGGUGAGUAACACGUGGAUAACCUACCUAUAAGACUGGGAUAACUUCGGGAAACCGGAGCUAAUACCGGAUAAUAUUUUGAACCGCAUGGUUCAAAAGUGAAAGACGGUCUUGCUGUCACUUAUAGAUGGAUCCGCGCUGCAUUAGCUAGUUGGUAAGGUAACGGCUUACCAAGGCAACGAUGCAUAGCCGACCUGAGAGGGUGAUCGGCCACACUGGAACUGAGACACGGUCCAGACUCCUACGGGAGGCAGCAGUAGGGAAUCUUCCGCAAUGGGCGAAAGCCUGACGGAGCAACGCCGCGUGAGUGAUGAAGGUCUUCGGAUCGUAAAACUCUGUUAUUAGGGAAGAACAUAUGUGUAAGUAACUGUGCACAUCUUGACGGUACCUAAUCAGAAAGCCACGGCUAACUACGUGCCAGCAGCCGCGGUAAUACGUAGGUGGCAAGCGUUAUCCGGAAUUAUUGGGCGUAAAGCGCGCGUAGGCGGUUUUUUAAGUCUGAUGUGAAAGCCCACGGCUCAACCGUGGAGGGUCAUUGGAAACUGGAAAACUUGAGUGCAGAAGAGGAAAGUGGAAUUCCAUGUGUAGCGGUGAAAUGCGCAGAGAUAUGGAGGAACACCAGUGGCGAAGGCGACUUUCUGGUCUGUAACUGACGCUGAUGUGCGAAAGCGUGGGGAUCAAACAGGAUUAGAUACCCUGGUAGUCCACGCCGUAAACGAUGAGUGCUAAGUGUUAGGGGGUUUCCGCCCCUUAGUGCUGCAGCUAACGCAUUAAGCACUCCGCCUGGGGAGUACGACCGCAAGGUUGAAACUCAAAGGAAUUGACGGGGACCCGCACAAGCGGUGGAGCAUGUGGUUUAAUUCGAAGCAACGCGAAGAACCUUACCAAAUCUUGACAUCCUUUGACAACUCUAGAGAUAGAGCUUUCCCCUUCGGGGGACAAAGUGACAGGUGGUGCAUGGUUGUCGUCAGCUCGUGUCGUGAGAUGUUGGGUUAAGUCCCGCAACGAGCGCAACCCUUAAGCUUAGUUGCCAUCAUUAAGUUGGGCACUCUAAGUUGACUGCCGGUGACAAACCGGGGGAAGGUGGGGAUGACGUCAAAUCAUCAUGCCCCUUAUGAUUUGGGCUACACACGUGCUACAAUGGACAAUACAAAGGGCAGCGAAACCGCGAGGUCAAGCAAAUCCCAUAAAGUUGUUCUCAGUUCGGAUUGUAGUCUGCAACUCGACUACAUGAAGCUGGAAUCGCUAGUAAUCGUAGAUCAGCAUGCUACGGUGAAUACGUUCCCGGGUCU
rnacentral:rRNA from 1 species